rnacentral:rRNA from 1 species
UACGUAGGUGGCAAGCGUUGUCCGGAUUUAUUGGGCUUAAAGGGUGCGUAGGCGGUUUUCUAAGUCAGCAGUGAAAUACGGCAGCUCAACUGUCGAGGUGCUGUUGAUACUGGGGAACUUGAGUACUGAUGAGGUAGGCGGAAUGGACGGUGUAGCGGUGAAAUGCUUAGAGAUCGUCCAGAACACCGAUAGCGAAGGCAGCUUACUAAGGAGUAACUGACGCUGAGACGCGAAAGCGUGGGGAGCAAACAGG